GAUGAACGCUAGCGAUAGGCUUAACACAUGCAAGUCGAGGGGCAGCAUGGUCUUAGCUUGCUAAGGCUGAUGGCGACCGGCGCACGGGUGCGUAACGCGUAUGCAACUUGCCUCACAGAGGGGGAUAACCCGUCGAAAGACGGACUAAUACCGCGUACACUCUAUGUUGGGCAUCCAAUGUAGAGGAAAUGAAAUUCGCUGUGAGAUAGGCAUGCGUCCCAUUAGCUAGUUGGUGAGGUAACGGCUCACCAAGGCGACGAUGGGUAGGGGAACUGAGAGGUUGAACCCCCACACUGGUACUGAGACACGGACCAGACUCCUACGGGAGGCAGCAGUGAGGAAUAUUGGUCAAUGGGCGAGAGCCUGAACCAGCCAAGUCGCGUGAAGGAUGACUGUCUUAUGGAUUGUAAACUUCUUUUAUACGGGAAUAACAAGAGUCACGUGUGGCUCCCUGCAUGUACCGUAUGUAUAAGCAUCGGCUAACUCCGUG
rnacentral:rRNA from 1 species